UGUGAGAGUCCAGAUGAAGAUGAUGAUGAAGGUCAUGUUGAUGAAGAUUGUUGUGUGUGUCAGUGAUGAAGUGUUAAACUCACAGCACUAUAAACACUCUCAGAGCACUGAAGCAUCUGAUCAAUAUGCAAACACACUCCAGAUCAUUUACCUGAAGACAGUCACUCA